rnacentral:rRNA from 1 species
GAUGAACGCUGGCGGCGUGCCUAAUACAUGCAAGUCGAGCGAAUGGAUUAAGAGCUUGCUCUUAUGAAGUUAGCGGCGGACGGGUGAGUAACACGUGGGUAACCUGCCCAUAAGACUGGGAUAACUCCGGGAAACCGGGGCUAAUACCGGAUAACAUUUUGAACUGCAUGGUUCGAAAUUGAAAGGCGGCUUCGGCUGUCACUUAUGGAUGGACCCGCGUCGCAUUAGCUAGUUGGUGAGGUAACGGCUCACCAAGGCAACGAUGCGUAGCCGACCUGAGAGGGUGAUCGGCCACACUGGGACUGAGACACGGCCCAGACUCCUACGGGAGGCAGCAGUAGGGAAUCUUCCGCAAUGGACGAAAAGUCUGACGGAGCAAACGCCGCGUGAGUGAUGAAGGCUUUUCGGGUCGUAAAACUCUGUUGUUAGGGAAGAACAAGUGCUAGUUGAAUAAGCUGGCACCUUGACGGUACC